CCGCCUGUACCCUUCCGGACCAUGACCGAAUUUGCCAGCCAUACUGGGUACGAAACUUCCCUGAUGAAGCCGAUGGUUUGAAGUUUGUCAACUUCCUUGCGCAUGGCUUCGUACCGUUCGGCAUCAUACGAACGGCGCUUCUGCCUUACAGGCUUGAAGGCGGGGGAAACGCUGAGUUUAUGGCUGAUGAUCUCAGGGUCUAUGCCGGGCAUGUCUUCGUAGGACCAUGCGAACACUUCCGA
rnacentral:lncRNA from 1 species